rnacentral:rRNA from 1 species
AGCGAGCGGGAAGAGCUCAAAUUUAUAAUCUGGCACCUUCGGUGUCCGAGUUGUAAUCUCUAGAAGUGUUUUCCGCGUUGGACCGCACACAAGUCUGUUGGAAUACAGCGGCAUAGUGGUGAAACCCCCGUAUAUGGUGCGGACGCCCAGCGCUUUGUGAUACACUUUCAAUGAGUCGAGUUGUUUGGGAAUGCAGCUCAAAUUGGGUGGUAAAUUCCAUCUAAAGCUAAAUAUUGGCGAGAGACCGAUAGCGAACAAGUACCGUGAGGGAAAGAUGAAAAGCACUUUGGAAAGAGAGUUAACAGUACGUGAAAUUGUUGGAAGGGAAACGCUUGAAGUCAGACUUGCUUGCCGGAGCUUGCUUCGGUUUGGGCCAGCAUCAGUUUUCCGGGGUGGAUAAUGACGGUUUGAAGGUAGCAGUCUCGGCUGUGUUAUAGCUUUCCGUUGGAUACAUCCUGGGGGACUGAGGAACGCAGCGUGCUUUUUGCGAAAGACUCGUCUUUUUCACGCUUAGGAUGCUGGUGGAAUGGCUUUAAACGACCCGUC